rnacentral:rRNA from 1 species
UGGCGGGAUGCUUUACACAUGCAAGUCGGACGGCAGCACGGGGCUUCGGCCUGGUGGCGAGUGGCGAACGGGUGAGUAAUGUAUCGGAACGUGCCCGGUAGCGGGGGAUAACUACGCGAAAGCGUGGCUAAUACCGCAUACGCCCUACGGGGGAAAGCGGGGGACCUUCGGGCCUCGCACUAUUGGAGCGGCCGAUAUCGGAUUAGCUAGUUGGUGGGGUAACGGCCUACCAAGGCGACGAUCCGUAGCUGGUUUGAGAGGACGACCAGUCACACUGGGACUGAGACACGGCCCAGACUCCUACGGGAGGCAGCAGUGGGGAAUUUUGGACAAUGGGGGCAACCCUGAUCCAGCCAUCCCGCGUGUGCGAUGAAGGCCUUCGGGUUGUAAAGCACUUUUGGCAGGAAAGAAACGGCACGGGCUAAUAUCCUGUGCAACUGACGGUACCUGCA